rnacentral:ncRNA from 1 species
GGAGAAUCUUAGAUUUUCUUGAUGUUCUGUAGAUCUAUCAGCAAUGUAGCAACAGGGAUGUUGCUACAAGCAAAAUCCAUGGCAUGGAUGCCAUGUCUUUUGUGGUUGCGGGAAAAAAAUGAAUUUUGGCAGAACAUUUAGAAAAUAUUAGAUUCGUAA